UGGACAGAACUAGAAUCAAAAGUACCACAACUUCAGGAACAGCAGCAGCCACUUCCACUCCAGGUUCUGGGACUGUAACAGGUAGUUCUGCAUGCUCCAGAGGCUCUGAUGCAGACUGCUCUGCCUGCUCCUCAGCUGAUGGAACGGCAGUGGAGUGUUCUGCCUCUGCUUCUUCAAAAAGUGCCAACUCCGAGCUGGUCAGCUCCGCCCUUGGAUUCUC
rnacentral:lncRNA from 1 species